rnacentral:rRNA from 1 species
CCUACGGGAGGCAGCAGUAGGGAAUCUUCCACAAUGGACGAAAGUCUGAUGGAGCAACGCCGCGUGAGUGAUGAAGGUUUUCGGAUCGUAAAACUCUGUUGUAAGGGAAGAACAAGUACGAGAGGGAAUGCUCGUACCUUGACGGUACCUUGCGAGAAAGCCGCGGCUAACUACGUGCCAGCAGCCGCGGUAAUACGUAGGUGGCAAGCGUUGUCCGGAAUUAUUGGGCGUAAAGCGCGCGCAGGCGGCCUUUUAAGUCUGAUGUGAAAGCCCCCGGCUCAACCGGGGAGGGUCAUUGGAAACUGGAAGGCUUGAGUACAGAAGAGAAGAGUGGAAUUCCAUGUGUAGCGGUGAAAUGCGUAGAGAUGUGGAGGAACACCAGUGGCGAAGGCGACUCUUUGGUCUGUAACUGACGCUGAGGCGCGAAAGCGUGGGGAGCAAACAGGAUUAGAUACCCUGGUAGUCCACGCCGUAAACGAUGAGUGCUAGGUGUUGGGGGUUUCCGCCCCUCAGUGCUGAAGCUAACGCAUUAAGCACUCCGCCUGGGGAUCGGCCGCAGGCUGAAACUUAAUGAAUUGACGG